ACGGGAGGCAGCAGUGGGGAAUAUUGGGCAAUGGGCGCAAGCCUGACCCAGCGACGCCGCGUGAGUGAAGAAGUAUUUCGGUAUGUAAAGCUCUUUAAGCAGGAAAGAUCAUGACGGUACCUGCAGAAUAAGCACCGGCUAAAUACGUGCCAGCAGCCGCGGUAAUACGUAUGGUGCAAGCGUUAUCCGGAUUUACUGGGUGUAAAGGGAGCGUAGGUGGUCUGGCAAGCCAGAAGUGAAAACCCGGGGCUCAACUCCGCGGAUUGCUUUUGGAACUGUUGGACUAGAGUGCAGGAGGGGUAAGUGGAAUUCCCAGUGUAGCGGUGAAAUGCGUAGAUAUUGGGAGGAACACCGGUGGCGAAGGCGGCUUACUGGACGACAACUGACGCUGAGACACGAAAGCGUGGGGAGCAAACAGGAUUAGAUACCCUGGUA
rnacentral:rRNA from 1 species